rnacentral:piRNA from 1 species
UCCACAACCACCUCUGAGCUGUUUCUGGCA